AAUAGUGGAAAUGGACCAGGUCGGCCAGUGGGACCAAAAGGGUUGCCUCCUAAGGUGCCUGCUAGUACCAUGGGGAAUAAAUUUUCAGCACCUGUUAUGAAAAAACCUGUGAACGACAUGCAUAGACCUGUUAAUGGCACACAUAGACCUGUCAACAGUAUGCAAAGACCUGUCAACAGCAUGCAAAGACCUGUCAAUGGCACGCAGAAAUCACUCCCUUCUAAGGUCCAUUCAUCUGUUAGGCAAAAUGUGGAUCCAAGAAGAGACCCGCGUGAACAGAAUAGACCGAAGAUGUUGCCAAAACAACCAGUGGCAUCA
rnacentral:lncRNA from 1 species